UACGUAGGGUGCGAGCGUUGUCCGGAAUUAUUGGGCGUAAAGAGCUCGUAGGCGGUCUGUCGCGUCGGCUGUGAAAACCCGGGGCUCAACCCCGGGCCUGCAGUCGAUACGGGCAGACUAGAGUGUGGUAGGGGAGACUGGAAUUCCUGGUGUAGCGGUGAAAUGCGCAGAUAUCAGGAGGAACACCGGUGGCGAAGGCGGUUCUCUGGGCAUUACCUGACGCUGAGGAGCGAAAGCGUGGGGAGCAAACAGG
rnacentral:rRNA from 1 species